rnacentral:piRNA from 1 species
UUGCUCAAUGAUGCCUGGGAUAAAUGU